GACGAACGCUGGCGGCGUGCUUAACACAUGCAAGUCGAACGGAAAGGCCCUGCUUUUGUGGGGUGCUCGAGUGGCGAACGGGUGAGUAACACGUGAGUAACCUGCCCUUGACUUUGGGAUAACUUCAGGAAACUGGGGCUAAUACCGGAUAGGAGCUCCUGCUGCAUGGUGGGGGUUGGAAAGUUUCGGCGGUUGGGGAUGGACUCGCGGCUUAUCAGCUUGUUGGUGGGGUAGUGGCUUACCAAGGCUUUGACGGAUAGCCGGCCUGAGAGGGUGACCGGGCACAAUGGGCCUGAGAGAGGGACCAGACUCCAACGGGAGGCAGCAGUGGGGAGUAUUACACAAUGGGCGGAAGCCUGAUGCAACGACGCUGCGUGCGGGAUGACGGCCUUCGGGUUGUGAACCGCUUUCGCCUGUGACGAAGCGUGAGUGACGGUAAUGGGUAAAGAAGCACCGGCUAACUACGUG
rnacentral:rRNA from 1 species